UUACGACCAUAUCACAUUGAAACACCGAUUCUGAUACGAUCACCGAAGUUCAGCAACAUCAAGCCUGAUCAGUACCUAGAUAGGUGACCGCUUGGCAAUACCAGGCUCUGU